rnacentral:rRNA from 1 species
AGUGAACAUUAAACGGCCGCGGUACCCUAACCGUGCAAAGGUAGCGUAAUCAUUUGUCUAUUAAUUGUAGACCAGUAUGAAAGGCAAAAUGAGGGUUUAACUGUCUCCUAUAGUAAAUCAAUUAAACUGAUCUCCUAGUAAAAAAGCUAGAAUAUUCACAUAAGACCAGAAGACCCUGUGAAGCUUAAACUAAACUAUUAAACCCUAUAAUAACUACUUUCGGUUGGGGCGACCUUGGAAAAAAAAAGAACUUCCAAAUCAAUGACUAUAAACCACUCUAUACAGGCCCACAAGCCACUAAACGACCCAGCAUAGCUGACAAUUGAACCAAGUUACUCCAGGGAUAACAGCGCUAUCUUCUUCAAGAGUCCAUAUCAAAAAGAAGGUUUACGACCUCGAUGUUGGAUCAGGACAUCCUAA